GAGUUUGAUCCUGGCUCAGAACGAACGCUGGCGGCAGGCUUAACACAUGCAAGUCGAACGCCCCGCAAGGGGAGUGGCAGACGGGUGAGUAACACGUGGGAAUGUACCCCAAGGUACGGAAUAUUCUCGGGAAACUGAGGGCAAUACCGUAUGUGACCGAAAGGUGAAAGAUUUAUCGCCUUGGGAUCAGCCCGCGUUGGAUUAGCUAGUUGGUGGGGUAAAAGCCUACCAAGGCGACGAUCCAUAGCUGGUCUGAGAGGACGACCAGCCACACUGGGACUGAGACACGGCCCAGACUCCUACGGGAGGCAGCAGUGGGGAAUCUUGGACAAUGGGCGCAAGCCUGAUCCAGCCAUGCCGCGUGAGUGAUGAAGGCCUUAGGGUUGUAAAACUCUUUCGUCAGGGACGAUAAUGACGGUACCUGAAGAAGAAGCCCCGGCUAACUUCGUGCCAGCCGCCGCUGUAAG
rnacentral:rRNA from 1 species